UACGUAGGGUGCGAGCGUUAAUCGGAAUUACUGGGCGUAAAGCGUGCGCAGGCGGUUUUGUAAGCCAGAUGUGAAAUCCCCGGGCUUAACCUGGGAAUGGCAUUUGGGACUGCAAGGCUCGAGUGCGGCAGAGGAGACUGGAAUUCCUGGUGUAGCAGUGAAAUGCGUAGAUAUCAGGAGGAACACCGAUGGCGAAGGCAGCCCCCUGGGCUAACACUGACGCUCAUGCACGAAAGCGUGGGGAGCAAACAGG
rnacentral:rRNA from 1 species